rnacentral:misc_RNA from 1 species
AAGUCGUAACAAGGUUUCCGUAGGUGAACCUGCGGAAGGAUCAUUAACACAAUUUUACUGUGAUAAAUCCGUUGAAUUGUCGAAUUCAAUGGUAUCCACCCCAUUAUUGACGAACUUUUCUAGAUGUUAAAACAUAGAGCUAGUCUUUAUGUUUUUAACAUUCUAAACCUUUUCUAUAUCCACACAAAUUUAAACCCCUUUUACAACAUGUAUUAGACUGAAAUGAAAAUUUUCUAUCAAAAAAUUGAUAAAAACAACUUUUAACAACGGAUAUCUUGGCUCUC